rnacentral:rRNA from 1 species
UGACCUCGAAUCAGGUAGGAAUACCCGCUGAACUUAAGCA